UGGGGAAUAUUGGACAAUGGGGGGAACCCUGAUCCAGCCAUGCCGCGUGUGUGAAGAAGGCCUUAUGGUUGUAAAGCACUUUAAGCGAGGAGGAGGGUACUGGUAUUAAUACUACCAGCUACUGGACGUUACUCGCAGAAUAAGCACCGGCUAACUCUGUGCCAGCAGCCGCGGUAAUACAGAGGGUGCGAGCGUUAAUCGGAUUUACUGGGCGUAAAGCGUGCGUAGGCGGCUAAUUGAGUCGGAUGUGAAAUCCCCGAGCUUAACUUGGGAAUUGCAUUCGAUACUGGUUAGCUAGAGUGUGGGAGAGGAUGGUAGAAUUCCAGGUGUAGCGGUGAAAUGCGUAAAGAUCUGGAGGAAUACCGAUGGCGAAGGCAGCCAUCUGGCCUAACACUGACGCUGAGGUACGAAAGCAUGGGGAGCAAACAGG
rnacentral:rRNA from 1 species